rnacentral:lncRNA from 1 species
UGGGCUCACCUGCUGGAAUGCCAGUGUUUUGAGCCACCUGUCGCUGCCCAGCUGCUGUGUCCCAUACGACCGUUGACCACGUUUGUGAAACGUUUGCCCAGGUUUGGCUAGCUGCCCUGGGUCAGAGGCAACAGACGUGGGAAGUGUCCGCGGAGACCCAGAGAAGUGGGGCAGGAGAGGAGCUCUGCGAGUACCACUGACAGCACUGCUUACAGUUCCCGUGAAGAGAGAAGUCCAGCCGGGCACGGUGGCGCACACCUACGAUCCCCGCAGCUCCGAGGCUGAGGCAGGAGGAUUGCAAGUUCAAAGCCAGCCUCCGCAAAAGCAAGGAGCUAAGCAACUCAGUGAGAACCUGUCUCCAAAUUAAACACAAAACAGGGCUGGGGAUGUGGCUCAGUGGUUGAGUGCCCCUGGGUUCAAUCCCCGGUUACUCACACCCCCACACCCCAAAAGAGAGACACCUGUAAAAUGAUAAUAAGUCCUCAGCUCCUUGUUCUCCCCAGAAGAAGCUUCUCUUCCAGUCUUAAUCCACAUCAGUGACUCUAAAUCUAAGCUGUUUCCCAUUUAAUUCCCUCCCUCAGAGGAAGGGGCUUUUCAUGGAGAUAUUUUUCUAGAUGCAAUGAGCACCUUCAGUCUCUAAGCAGAAUGAGCUCCCGGGCAUCUUCCCUGCUGAUUGAUACACACACGGGAAAGAACCACUCGGAUGGAUGCCACUUCUUCAGAAGGAAAAGGAAAGUUCAUGGAAAGUUCUUUGUAAGAUUUUAAAAAUGGGGAGCACAGUGCAUCUCUUGGGAUCCAGCCAGGGACCCAAGCAUCUUGGAGGAGGUGUAAGGGAUUUAUUUUAGACAUUCCCUCUGGCAUAGAGCAGGAAGCAGGUGAGGAAUUUAUGGGAGCUGUUGCCUCUGCAUAUGGGGGUGUGACUGAAGCUGGGGCAAGUAGUGGGGCUGGCGGUGACAAGAAGCCGGGGACAGGCUGAGCUGGAGUCCAUGAGGGGAAACGGGAACUUACAACUUUUUGUUUGCAUUGCAUUCAAUCCCUGAAAUUAAGGUGACUGAAGUCCCAUGCAUGACCCUCACUGAGGGCCAGAGGUCUCCCUGGG